rnacentral:pre_miRNA from 1 species
AUUCUACUCCCUCCGUUGCACAAUACAUGCCUUCUAUUUGUCAAAAUAUAUAUGUAUCUAGACAUGUUUUAGUAUAUAGGUACAUCUAUUUUUGGACAAAUGGAAGUCAAGUAUUUUGGAAUGGAGGGAGUACACA